rnacentral:rRNA from 1 species
AGUGGCGCACGGGUGCGUAACGCGUAUACACCUACCUUAUACAGGGGUAUAGCCCAGGGAAACUUGGAUUAACACCCCAUAGUUUGGCAUCAUUAAAACUACGGUGGUAUAAGAUGGGUAUGCGUCCCAUUAGCUUGUUGGUGUGGUAACGGCACACCAAGGCAACGAUGGGUAGGGGCCCUGAGAGGGGGAUCCCCCACACUGGUACUGAGACACGGACCAGACUCCUACGGGAGGCAGCAGUGAGGAAUAUUGGACAAUGGGCGGGAGCCUGAUCCAGCCAUGCCGCGUGCAGGAAGACUGCCUAUGGGUUGUAAACUGCUUUUAUACGGGAAGAAACCCACCUACGUGUAGGUGGCUGACGGUACCGUAAGAAUAAGGACCGGCUAACUCCGUGCCAGCAGCCGCGGUAAUACGGAGGGUCCGAGCGUUAUCCGGAAUCAUUGGGUUUAAAGGGUCCGCAGGCGGCCAGAUAAGUCAGUGGUGAAAUUCCGUGGCUCAACCACGGAACUGCCAUUGAUACUGUUUGGCUUGAAUCAGUUCGAGGAUGCCGGACUGUGUGGUGUAGCGGUGAAAUGCAUAGAUAUCACACAGAACACCAAUUGCGAAGGCAGGUGUCCAGCACUGUAUUGACGCUGAUGGACGAAAGCCUGGUUAGCGGACAGAAUUAGAUACCCUGGGAGUCCAGGCG